CGGAUUGUGGCGCAGCUUGGUAGCGCGUUCGCUUUGGGAGCGAAAGGUCGCGCGUUCGAAUCGCGCCAGUCCGA
rnacentral:tRNA from 1 species